rnacentral:rRNA from 1 species
UAGAGUUUGAUCCUGGCUCAGGACGAACGCUGGCGGCGUGCUUAACACAUGCAAGUCGAACGGAGAUUUAAGAGGAAGCUUGCGAAUCUUAAAUCUUAGUGGCGGACGGGUGAGUAACACGUGGAUAACCUGCCUGUAAGACCGGGACAACACCUGGAAACGGGUGCUAAUACCGGGUAAGCUCUUUAUGCCGCAUGGAGUGAAGAGGAGAGGGGAAACCCGCUUACAGAUGGAUCCGCGGCCCAUUAGCUAGUUGGCGGUGUAACGGACCACCAAGGCGACGAUGGGUAGCCGGCCUGAGAGGGUGAUCGGCCACACUGGAACUGAGACACGGUCCAGACUCCUACGGGAGGCAGCAGUGGGGAAUCUUCCGCAAUGGGCGAAAGCCUGACGGAGCAACGCCGCGUGAAUGAUGAAGGCCUUCGGGUUGUAAAAUUC